ensembl:lncRNA
AUGAGGGAUGGAAAAGCAGGAAAUUGGAAAGUCCUGAGGAGCUGUGUGUGGAAGGCUGGGCAGGGUGAGGGGGUGGAAAUGGAACCCCCAGGCAGGGAGCUCCUUUCUGGGGCUGGGCCAGGCAGGGAAAUCCAGAUCCACACGGAGCAGGUACUUGGGAACUCUUCAGAGGAGAGCCUGGGGCUCCACCCCUGCAUGUGCUCCAUGCACCUGGAAUUGCAGCUCCAUCUGCCAAGGUGCCAGGGUUCCAAGCACCUGGAAUUGCAGCUCCAUGUGCCAAGGUGCCAGGGCUCCAUGCACCUGGAAUUGCAGCUCCAUGUGCCAAGGUGCCAGGGCUCCAUGCACCUGGAAUUGCAGCUCCAUGUGCCAAGGUGCCAGGGCUCCAUGCACCUGGAAUUGCAGCUCCAUGUGCCAAGGUGCCAGGGCUCCAUGCACCUGGAAUUGCAGCUCCAUGUGCCAAGGUGCCAGGGCUCCAUGCACCUGGAAUUGCAGCUCCAUGUGCCAAGGUGCCAGGGCUCCAUGCACCUGGAAUUGCAGCUCCAUGUGCCAAGGUGCCAGGGCUCCAUGCACCUGGAAUUGCAGCUCCAUGUGCCAAGGUGCCAGGGCUCCAUGCACCUGGAAUUGCAGCUCCAUGUGCCAAGGUGCCAGGGCUCCAUGCACCUGGAAUUGCAGCUCCAUGUGCCAAGGUGCCAGGGCUCCAUGCACCUGGAAUUGCAGCUCCAUGUGCCAAGGUGCCAGGGCUCCAUGCACCUGGAAUUGCAGCUCCAUGUGCCAAGGUGCCAGGGCUCCAUGCACCUGGAAUUGCAGCUCCAUGUGCCAAGGUGCCAGGGCUCCAUGCACCUGGAAUUGCAGCUCCAUGUGCCAAGGUGCCAGGGCUCCAUGCACCUGGAAUUGCAGCUCCAUGUGCCAAGGUGCCAGGGCUCCAUGCACCUGGAAUUGCAGCUCCAUGUGCCAAGGUGCCAGGGCUCCAUGCACCUGGAAUUGCAGCUCCAUGUGCCAAGGUGCCAGGGCUCCAUGCACCUGGAAUUGCAGCUCCAUGUGCCAAGGUGCCAGGGCUCCAUGCACCUGGAAUUGCAGCUCCAUGUGCCAAGGUGCCAGGGCUCCAUGCACCUGGAAUUGCAGCUCCAUGUGCCAAGGUGCCAGGGCUCCAUGCACCUGGAAUUGCAGCUCCAUGUGCCAAGGUGCCAGGGCUCCAUGCACCUGGAAUUUGCAGCUCCAUGUGCCAAGGUUCCAGGGCUCCCAUGCACCUGGAAUUUGCAGCUCCAUCUGCCAAGGUGCCAGGGCUCCAUGCAACUGGAAUUGCAGCUCCAUGUGCCAAGGUGCCCGGGCUCCAUGCACUGGGGUUAUCAGAGCUCCACACAUGGGGGAAUUUGGGCUCUGUGCAUGAAGUGUCAGAGCUCCAGGCACCAGGGAGUCAGGGCUCCACACACCAGGGGUAUCAAUGCCUCAUGUCCUGGGGUACCAGACCUUCCUGCUCUGGGGGCUCUGGGAUGCCUCCAUGUCUGGAGUGCCACACCUCCAUGCACUGGGAAUUUGGGGCCCUGUGCACGUGGAUACCAGAGCUCUGCGUGCCCAGGGGGGUGA